CUACGGGUCGCACCAGUGAGGAAUUUUGCGCAAUGGGGGAAACCCUGACGCAGCAACGCCGCGUGAGUGAAGAAGGCCUUUGGGUCGUAAAGCUCUGUCAACAGGGAAGAAGUUACAGGUGUUUAAUAGAUAUCUGUAUUGACGGUACCUGUGGAGGAAGCGCCGGCUAGCUCCGUGCCAGCAGCCGCGGUAACACGGGGGGCGCAAGCGUUAUUCGGAAUUAUUGGGCGUAAAGGGCGCGCAGGCGGUCUUGUCCGUCAGGUGUGAAAGCUCGGGGCUCCACCCCGGAAGUGCACUUGAAACAGCAAGACUUGAAUACGGGAGAGGAAAGCGGAAUUCCUGGUGUAGAGGUGAAAUUCGUAGAUAUCAGGAGGAACACCGAUGGCGAAGGCAGCUUUCUGGACCGAUAUUGACGCUGAGGCGCGAAGGCGUGGGGAGCGAACGGGAUUAGAUACCCCUGUAGUC
rnacentral:rRNA from 1 species